rnacentral:rRNA from 1 species
GGUGCAAACGUUGCUCGGAAUCAUUGGGCGUAAAGCGCACGUAGGUGGUUUGUUAAGUCGGGUGUGAAAGCCCUGGGCUCAACCCAGGAAGUGCACUCGAAACUGGCAGACUUGAGUACUGAAGAGGGUCGCGGAAUUCCCGGUGUAGAGGUGAAAUUCGUAGAUAUCGGGAGGAACACCAGUGGCGAAGGCGGCGACCUGGGCAGAUACUGACACUGAGGUGCGAAAGCGUGGGGAGCAAACAGG